UACAGAGGUCCCAAGCGUUGUUCGGAUUCAUUGGGCGUAAAGAGCUCGUAGGCGGUCUGUCGCGUCGGUCGUGAAAACUUGGGGCUUAACCCUGAGCUUGCGGUCGAUACGGGCAUGACUGGAGUUCGGCAGGGGAGACUGGAAUUCCUGGUGUAGCGGUGAAAUGCGCAGAUAUCAGGAGGAACACCGGUGGCGAAGGCGGGUCUCUGGGCCGAUACUGACGCUGAGGAGCGAAAGCGUGGGGAGCGAACAGG
rnacentral:rRNA from 1 species